rfam:Myotis lucifugus cont2.33279, whole genome shotgun sequence.
GGCUGUUCUUGGGUGACACACCCUUGAAUUGGGCUCCCUCCCCUCUGGUUCCAGGGUGUGUCACCUGAGAACUGCU